rnacentral:miRNA from 10 species
CAGGUAUUGGGGUGGUACAAAAGUAAUUGCGGUUUUUGUCAUUACUUUUAAUUGCAAAAACCUCAGUUACUUUUGCACCAACCUUUGUACUU